rnacentral:rRNA from 1 species
GAUGAACGCUGGCGGCGUGCCUAACACAUGCAAGUCGAGCGAGGGUUUGCUCAGUAUUGAGUAUUCUAAAACUAGAAUGUUCAAGUCUGAGCAAAACCAAGCGGCGGACGGGUGAGUAACGCGUGGGUAACCUGCCCUAUACACAUGGAUAACAUACUGAAAAGUUUACUAAUACAUGAUAAUAUAUAUUUGCGGCAUCGCAGAUAUAUCAAAGUGUUAGCGGUAUAGGAUGGACCCGCGUCUGAUUAGCUAGUUGGUGAGAUAACUGCCCACCAAGGCGACGAUCAGUAGCCGACCUGAGAGGGUGAUCGGCCACAUUGGAACUGAGACACGGUCCAAACUCCUACGGGAGGCAGCAGUGGGGAAUAUUGCACAAUGGGCGAAAGCCUGAUGCAGCAACGCCGCGUGAACGAUGAAGGUCUUCGGAUCGUAAAGUUCUGUUGCAGGGGAAGAUAAUGACGGUACCCUGUGAGGAAGCCCCGGCUAACUACGUGCCAGCAGCCGCGGUAAUACGUAGGGGGCUAGCGUUAUCCGGAUUUACUGGGCGUAAAGGGUGCGUAGGUGGUCCUUCAAGUCGGUGGUUAAAGGCUACGGCUCAACCGUAGUAAGCCGCCGAAACUGGAGGACUUGAGUGCAGGAGAGGAAAGUGGAAUUCCCAGUGUAGCGGUGAAAUGCGUAGAUAUUGGGAGGAACACCAGUAGCGAAGGCGGCUUUCUGGACUGCAACUGACACUGAGGCACGAAAGCGUGGGUAGCAAACAGG